UAGUAGCGGCGAGCGAAGCGGGAAGAGCUCAAAUUUAUAAUCUGGCACCUUCGGUGUCCGAGUUGUAAUCUCUAGAAAUGUUUUCCGCGUUGGACCGCACACAAGUCUGUUGGAAUACAGCGGCAUAGUGGUGAGACCCCCGUAUAUGGUGCGGACGCCCAGCGCUUUGUGAUACAUUUUCGAAGAGUCGAGUUGUUUGGGAAUGCAGCUCAAAUUGGGUGGUAAAUUCCAUCUAAAGCUAAAUAUUGGCGAGAGACCGAUAGCGAACAAGUACCGUGAGGGAAAGAUGAAAAGCACUUUGGAAAGAGAGUUAACAGUACGUGAAAUUGUUGGAAGGGAAACGCUUGAAAUCGGA
rnacentral:rRNA from 1 species